ensembl:lncRNA
UCCAAAUAGUCAGACAAGGGUAAGUUAAAUCCAUCACGCUGCUGAAAAGACAUGAAAUGCAACAGCUACCACUGCAUCCUGUAAUUCUUUGGUUCUCCAGGAUGAGAGGCUCUUUUCCAGACAGCACAGCAGGGAGAUGACCAGGAAGGACUUCAAAGGCCUUCUAUGAAGAUGACUAUCUGAAAUGCAUCCAUCUAGACUUGGCUUCUUUCUAUUCAUUAUGCCUUCUGCUAGGCAGCUUCACCCCACCAGGCUGUGCUGUGCUGCCCCACCAGGCUUCAGGUGUUGGGUGGAGAUAUUCGUUCAUUAGGGAACAAAAGCAUGGGAAAAGAUUACCUCUGGAUUUCAUUUGAUGUUAUGUGGAGAUUUUUGGCUUCUUCCUCUCCCCGGAGGCACAGACCCAGGGAAAACAAUGUCCAGGAAAGGAAAACAAGGAAGAAAGCACAGAGAAUUACUUAGCUAAUGAAGAGGAAUGGCUGACUUGUCCUGCAAGAGGGCAGUUAGCAGGGACACAUCCCCUCUGGGCUCACCCAGUGAAGAACAGACACCAACACAGACCACUAAAAGGUGAGCAUCAGUGGAGUGACGCUGCAGUUUCUCCAGCUGUGUUUUGUGAGCAUAAUCGAGAUUUCUGUAGUGCCAGUGCUCACAAAACAUCAAAUGGCUCUGACUAUCCAUCUGGAACCGAAACCAUUACAUCCUCCCUGUAUGGCUCUUAGGGGCAGCACAGAACUCAGGACGCAGAUUUGUAUGAUAUAGCGAGGAGAACCAAUCAGAAAAAUGAUGUUAGUGCUGCAUCCUGUCUGAUAAAAGAGCCCAGCAAACAUCCAAAGCACCAUGAUGGUACCGCUGUCUGUCCUCCCUCCCUCCCCACUUCCCUGUCCAUCCUUUCCUAUCCUGACAUUUUGAGACAAGGCACUGAAUGAUCCCUUUUCAAAUGUUACUUUUUCUCCCUGAAUUAUUAUGUUUUUACAGUACGGCAAUUUUAUAAUUAAGAUUAAAUACUUUGUGUAAUUGUUUUGGCUUUUUUUUCCCCCUCUCAAACAAAAUGGAACCAAGGUUCAAAUCCAGAAAUGCUGUGAAAGGGGAUUUCUAUUCUCCGUGUAGAUGAAUGUAACUAUGAUCAGAGGAAAUAAAACUUAGAGCAAAAAUGCUCUGGAUAUAUAGAUUUUUCACCAUAAAUCAUUUGCAUAAAUAAAGGUAAGUUGAUUGUAAUCACUUGAGUAUUUCCUGUAGCUGAAGUUUUACUCUAUUUAUCUUUAUUUCUGCUGUAGUUUCAUCAGCACAAAAAAAUCAAGGAAGCAGUAAUAAAGAAAAAAACAGCACAAAAAAUACCCACAAAAAAAAAAAGAGCAACAGUAGAUCCAGCCGCUUAGCAGUGGGUGCUUUAUUUUCUCCAUAAUAUUUUCAGAGUGUUUGGGGGAGUAAUUUCAAACAGUCAAGUCAGAGUCCAUUGAGAAUUGAUUUUUGUGACCUCACAUAGUGUAACAGAAAAUUAUAACAGGAAAUAAACCAUUAAGUGAUAAACAAGGAAACAUGGAUACAAUUACUUUCAGAACAUAAUUUUAUUCACUCUAGUUUUGAAAAUGAAGAGAUAGUACUGACUGGAACACCUCAAUUCUGAAUGCAAACUGUACAAUCUAUUAUAUUAAACAAAGUCAAAAGCAAUGUGAAAGAUCUUGAAUCUAUUCAAGGCAUGCACCUCAUUACAGACUUAGCAAAUUAAAACACAAAUAGGAUUAGAAAAGAAUAAUGUAACAAUCUCCCACCAUGGUCCCUGGAGCAUUAAGUCAUAAAUUGGGUUUGCAUUAAAUUGUGCCUGCAGUAUUGAAUUCAGGGAAAGAGCUAUAGGCUGAAGAUAAACCUCGCUAGGCUGGCCAACUUUGGUAUGGCUGUGUGAUUUCAUAAAAACACAAUGAAUCUGUUGGAAUCUAAAAAGGCACAUUCAACAACAUGUAUUUCAUAUCUUAAUUAGAAAACGCAGAUAUGGGGUAGCAAUCUCUGGCUGCAAGAGGUAUAAACCCAGCCAAAAGCUGCAGACAUUUGAAACUGUCACUUCACCUGGAGGUGUUGUUUAAAUAAGGUAAUUCAGCACUUCGUGGCAUCACCUGCUGUGUUAAACUACACAAGUUUCCUGCUUUGCACAAAGCUCUAGUGUGCCCUGAGCUUCUUUUAGCUGGAAGAAACAAUCUUACCCCAAAAGAGCUGAGAGAAGCUGAGUUUCUGAUACAAAUGCAUUCUGUUGUUAUGGGAACUAAAAUGGUGAGCGAUGUGAAAAGGAUCCUUCGCUAACAAAGACCGGCUUGAUGAUAUUAUGGCAGCAGCUAUGCAAAAAGCAAAUAUAUCUGCAAGAAACAAACAGAGCUUCUCCAAAGAAGACGCAGGUUCCUG